AAAGGUGGCGCGCGGCUGGCGGGAAGGGGUAAGAUGGCGGUGUAGGCGCAAGUCGGCGUGUCCUGCGCUCCCCCCUCCCCACCUCAGGCGCCCGUGUUUCUCCUGCCGGAGGAGGCGGCUGGAUCCCGACUCUCAAGCCGGCCGCGGUGUGAGGCGGGAGGAGGAGGACAAAGCCUCCGCUGCCGCCCGCGCCGUCAUGCCUAACAUCAAGAUCUUCAGCGGGAGCUCGCACCAGGACCUGUCCCAGAAGAUCGCGGACCGCCUCGGCCUGGAGCUCGGCAAGGUGGUGACCAAGAAGUUCAGCAACCAGGAGACAUGUGUGGAAAUAGGUGAGAGCGUACGUGGGGAGGAUGUCUACAUUGUGCAGAGUGGCUGUGGUGAAAUCAAUGACAAUCUGAUGGAGCUCCUUAUCAUGAUAAAUGCCUGCAAGAUUGCCUCAGCCAGCAGAGUCACAGCUGUCAUACCCUGCUUUCCCUAUGCUCGUCAGGACAAAAAGGACAAGAGUCGAGCCCCGAUCUCUGCCAAGCUGGUUGCGAACAUGCUGUCUGUGGCAGGUGCAGAUCACAUCAUCACCAUGGACCUGCAUGCCUCUCAGAUUCAGGGUUUUUUUGAUAUCCCUGUUGAUAACUUGUACGCUGAGCCUGCUGUACUGAAGUGGAUCAAGGAGAAUAUUGCCGAGUGGAAGAAUUGUACCAUCGUUUCACCAGAUGCUGGUGGAGCCAAGAGAGUGACCUCCAUUGCAGAUCGAUUGAAUGUAGACUUCGCCCUCAUUCACAAGGAGCGCAAGAAGGCCAACGAAGUGGAUCGCAUGGUACUCGUGGGUGAUGUGAAGGACAGAGUGGCCAUUCUGGUAGAUGAUAUGGCAGACACAUGUGGUACCAUCUGUCAUGCAGCAGACAAGCUUGUGUCAGCUGGAGCCACCAAAGUUUAUGCUAUCUUAACUCAUGGGAUUUUUUCUGGGCCAGCAAUUUCUCGAAUCAACAAUGCCUGUUUUGAAGCAGUUGUUGUCACAAACACAAUACCCCAGGAGGACAAGAUGAAACAUUGCCCUAAAAUCCAGGGCUUGUCAUAACCUAGAUCAGAUCACUGAUCUAAUGGGGCCAGGAUGUAAGCAAGCAGUUCUGUCAGUACCCUUUGGAGGGGUGACAUGCUGAUGUGUAGCACUGAAGCAGAAAUGGGUAGGAACUUCUCAAGCCAGUAGUGAUGCCAGCUUCAGUUGUGGAACUCACCUUGGUGUGCUGUCACCACAGUAGAUCAUCUUCCUGCAAAACACAAAGGCCAGAAAAAGCUAUCUGGAAGGAUUUCUGCUUUCUGUCCUAGAAAUCUGGCUCUUGCCUUUCCUGUUCCUCUUGGAAGAUUGGAGAUGCUACUGAAUCCGUAACAACAGAUGCCAAGAAACAUGAUUUGAAAGGAUGUGACUACUUUAAACAUUGGAUGUCCUGUACUUUCUCCCAAGCCUUGUGUCUAACCUUUUAACCAGAGUUCUUUAUCCACAUGUCCUUUCCUUCUGAAGACCUUUUGUGAAACAAAGCAGGCCUGGUUUGGGAAAGGUGAUCGACAUCUCAAUGAUCCUUGCAGAGGCCAUCAGGAGGACUCAUAAUGGGGAAUCUGUCUCCUACCUAUUCAGCCAUGUCCCUUUAUAACAACAGAUGCCAGCUGCUGCUUGUAUGGCUUUUUUUAAAACCAAAAGUUGUUCAGCUUGUUAUAAAGUUCAGUAGAAGACUCUGCUUGUUCCAGUGCAGUUCUCCACAGCUGCUCCUGCAUAAGUCAGGCUUACUGACUCUGAUCCCAGCACUAGGAGGUUGGGGGGAGGCUCAUCUCUGUCACACUCCAACUCCACCAGCAACCUUGUGCGUUGGGGCUCGUCAGUAGCAUUGACUCAACCCUGCAGAUCUGUGGAGAGCAGGACUGACACAUGGCUAAUUGCCACAACUAUUUUUGGAGGGGGGUGGGGGAGGGAGAGGGUUUGUCUGGGCAGGUUUAGGUGAUCUGGCAUGUGCACCCUGAAUUGCUUGGGAAGUAGAGCUCCCUAGGACAUGUUGGUCUGGAUCUACAGCAAGAGCCCGAGAGAAUGCUGACUGUCUUACCACUCUAUACCUGACAGAGGCCCUCGAAGAGGGGUGGGGAAGGCUUGCAUCUUGGCCAAGCUUAGCCCUAGGGCACACCUCAGGAUGGGAGGUGGUUCUGCUACAGCUUCUUCCCAUGAAAGGAGGUCAGUGUAGCUUGCAAACUUGAAUUAAUCUGAAUUGUUAAAGAAAUGCUAUGCCCUUUAACAUGCUACGCAGCAAAACUAAGGUGAGAGCGUAGUAUGUUCAGUGCUGCUUUGCUGCAUCAACUUAGUGGUCAGAGGUGCAUCCUGGACAAGCAGUCUUCUUCCUGGCUUGUAGGUGGAGGGCUCCUGGUGGCUGUGUGCUCUAGUUCCUAGCAUAAGCUAAAACAAAUGCCUCAUCUUUGCAGUUACUGUUAGCCUUGCUAGAGACUAGAGGACUGCUGUCAUGUACUGUAGUUGCACCUUGAUUUGCUGUGCAAAAGUACCUUGAUCCUUUUUUUACCAGUACAUUAGUAAAUGGAGCCUCUUGACCCUUAGUAGCAUGGUUGUUGCAUCUAGCAAGUGCCUGCUCAGUAGACUGAUACGGGGUGGCCUAAUGUGCAACAGCUUUGUGUCCAGCUGUCUUUGCCUCUGAAGGCUGUCUGCAAUCCUGUUGUCCCGUGAGUUACUGGCAUGUUCUCAUUGCUUCUCCUGGACACUAUCUGCCUUGCCUUGAAAGUGUUGCUCAUUCCAACCACAACUUUGCAAGGGAUCUUGAGAACCACAGAGGAUGAGAGGUUGCAGGACUACAGAGCCUGAAGAAGCCUCUGCAGUGCAUCUGAUGCAGCAAAUAAUCAGAAGUGCUUGUGGCAAUGGGUCGAAGAGGCUUGUGAUAUGUAGUACUGGGAAAAGCAUGGAUCUAACUCCAAUCCGACAGGCAGCAAAGUGCCUGAAAGAAAAAUACCAAAACUAGAGCUGGCUGAGGCUCCUGGAUAUAAAAUAAGUAUCAUCCAAAACUUGAAUGCAUGGUAACUGUACCAGACAAUCUUAAGGUAAACUGUUAAGUCUCUCCUGGACUCUUAUAACCUGGACGGGGGUUAUAGACCAAGCUGUUUUAUGCAGUCUGGUUUUUACAAGCACUCCUCUUUGAUUUGUUUUUGAUAUGAGGGAAGGGAAAAAGGGUAGAGAAGGAACUUGAAAUUGCUUGCUAGGAUAGCCAGCAUGGCUUUGAGAGGCGAGGGGCUGGGGAAUAAGUGGAACUAACUGAGAAACUUGGUUAAGAUCUAGGGAAGUACUUCUUUAGUCGUGCCUUUUAAUGAAGACUUCUCCCCUCUCCCUUCCUAAAACUCCUGACCUGUGGCAACUUUAACACUUCUAUUACAGUGUAGGGCUUUUUCUUUUGUAUAAGAAUCGGUGUUUGUCUGGAAAGUGUGUGCGUGUCUGUUCUGCUUCUUUGCUUUGCAUCCUGCACUGAGCUCUGAGAGUCUGAUUCCUGCCUCCUACCUUGGAGCCCCUGCUGCUGCACUGCCAAUGCCUCGAGAGCCAGGACAUCAGCGGCGUGAGGAUUUUCAGCAGCCUUUGUGUUAAACUUAAGACCUUGAUGAAGGAAUUAAACUUUUAUUUAAAAA